GGGAACGGUGCCGGCAGGUAAGGUAAGGUAGCACAACUGGGCAACAUCAUGACUGAUUUUCUCCCCUUAAAACAGUGAGCAGGACUCGGAUGGGGGAGAGAGACUGAAGCAGGUCCUCAGGGGCAAGGGAGCAGACAUUAGGAAAAUAUUUGUGUUAUUGUAGCUAACAAUGGUUUACAGAGCUGAUUGUUUUUAUAUGGGGCAAUUUGGAAUAAGUGAAUAUGGGAUAAAGUGGCAUAUAUCUAUUUAUAAUAGUAGCCAAUUAAAUGCAAUCACCAGGUUUUCUUUUUCUGUUAAUCCUUGCUUCUACUGUGCAGCUAUUUAAAACUUUAACGUAGACCAUUACCCUUUACCCCGUCAAUGAGCCAUGUAGGUGGAGGAGGUUUGGAGGAAUACAGAGUUCACUGUGCCGUCUCAUGGGGAAUCUAAAAAGGGAGCCACAGAGGAUAUCCAAGUGGUAGCAUGCAGUACACACACAGUCUUUAAAGCACACUAGUAGUGUUUCAGUACUAAUGUGUAUGUUAUUUUUGUUUUACUCGAAAGGUACUCUUGGAUGACGGCAUCAUAAAUGUAGGCACGUUGUCAUCUUCUCGCUACGUAGCUCCCGUCAAGUACAGGGUGCACAAAUGGCUGAGACAGCUGACCCUCUUCAACCAAACCCUGGAUGAGUGGCUUACAUGACAAAGAAACUGGCUUUAUCUACAGAGUAUAUUUUGUGGCCCCAGACAUCAAAAGGCAGCUUCCUGCUGAGUCCAAAAUGUUUCAAAAGGUGGACAAAUCAUGGAAGGAGAUAAUGGCAAGGGCCAAUACGAGGCCUAAUGCCCUUGAAGCAGCCACACAGCCCGAUCUGUUUGAGACUUUUCAAAAACACAACACUCUUCUGGAUGAGAUACAGAAGUGUGGAAGACUACCUGGAGUCCAAGAGAGUCAUUUUUCCCAGCUCCUCUAUCCUCACAGGUUCAUCUUAUCUAAUGACGAGCUGCUGAAGAUCUUGGCCCAGACAAGAAACCCCCAAGCAGUGCAGCCCCACCUUCGGAAGUGUUUUGAUGCCAUCACCCGACUAGAGUUUGCUUUGCUACCCAAAUCUUCUGGGACCAAGACAUCCUGUACAUGGUUUCCCCUGAUCGAGAGAAGGUGGCUUCGACUAAAGGUCUUAAGGUACAAGGCACUGUGGAGGAUUGGCCUUGCAAGGUGGAGGAGGCUAUGUUCAACUCGUUGCGCUCCCUCAGUAAGGCAGCCAUCGCUGACUACCAGGUGAAGUCUAGAGAGGGAUGGAUGCUGGCCGGACAUCCAUCGCAGGUGGUGCUGACCAUCUCACGGUUGAUGUGGUACAAAGAGAUGGACGCUUGGCUGGAUGGAGACCACGACCACUUAGCUGCCUCGCAGGAAUUCGAACUAACUAACUAACUUUGAUAGGGUGAAUGCCUUGGCGGCAUUGAUUCGUAAUAUCAUCACUUAGGCCCAUCAUAAUCAUAUAAGCCCUUAUCACCAUCGAUGUCCAUGCCAGAGAUAAAGUCACAGAUGUAGUCCGCCAGAAGGUGGACAACAGGGAUAACUUUGAAUGGCAGACGCAGUUGCGCUACUAUUGGGACCUGGACCAGGACAACUGUGUUGCCAAAAUGGCCCUGUCCACUUCCAUUUACGGCAAUGAAUAUCUGGGAGCCUGUCCUAGACUGGUUUUAACACAUCUUAUGGUAACACAUGAAUACACAUUCAUUCUCUGGCACACCUGUCUUGUACUGUACUAACAUUAGUUAUAAAUAUGUACAACACAAACUCUUUUAUGCAUAAUGUUGGAUACAACUACACUGAAGUCACACAUUUCUUAUCCUCAGUUUCAAAAGCCUUCAUCAUUUUACCUCAUUCCGAUUGUUUGUGAACCUGCAAACACACAAACAACCAAGCCACAAGCUACAAAACCACUAGAUGGAGCUAAUAGUGUGACCUAUACAAUGUGUGUCCAAUAGUAGUUAGAAAGCAGUGAGAAAUGACAACGGGACACACAAAUGCUGCAUAUUGUUUGUCACAAUUACUCGAUUUGCCUUCUAUUGCUCACCCUGCCCAGGAACUUUGCUAUUUGUGCCUGAUGGGGGCUCUCCAAUUCGACCUUGGAGGAGCACUA